AAGGUCAAACAGAGAAGAGGCCGGUCCUGAGCCUGACUGAUGAAGAGAGCAGACCCGCUGUGUCAGUGUUUGGCAUCUUCAAACAGAUCUGGGUGAUGGCUCUUUCUGUGUGCUUUGUUUUCACCGUCACCAUUGGUGUCUUCCCAGCCGUCACUGUUGAAGUCCAGACCACUGUUGUUGAAGAGGGGAACGGUUGGGAUACUUACUUCAUCCCUGUGUCCUGCUUCCUUCUGUUCAACAUGAUGGACUGGGUCGGCAGGAGCCUGACUGCUGUCUGUAUGUGGG